UACGGAGGGUGCGAGCGUUGUCCGGAAUCACUGGGCGUCAAGGGCGCGUAGGCGGCGCGGGCAGUCAACGGUGAAAGCUUGGGGCUCAACCCCGAGUCGGCCGUCGAUACUCCCGGGCUGGAGCACUGUAGAGGCAGGUGGAAUUCCGGGUGUAGCGGUGGAAUGCGUAGAGAUCCGGAAGAACACCGGGGGCGAAGGCGGCCUGCUGGGCAGUAGCUGACGCUGAGGCGCGACAGCGUGGGGAGCAAACAGG
rnacentral:rRNA from 1 species